UAGUCAUGUUAUUAGUUUGUAAUAUUAUGAUCGCCGAGGAAAACUCAAAAAAGUUUGCUGCAGAGAUAAGUUUAGCUGUUUGAUUUUGUAUUUUUCAAUGAAGUUGUUUAUGAGUUUGACUAUUGAUUGAAAUAAGUGUACCUUUGGGACAUGCUUUGUUGUUGUGAGACUUAUGUAAAUCACUGCAUUGAUUUUAAACUUAGUUUUCGAAUAUGGCUGCAACUGGAAGGUUCUAUUUUGUGUCAGACCGGACAGUUGAAAAUGUUCGAAAAGAUAGAGUGCCAAAGAAUACCAUAAGGCACACUACGUGGAGUACAAAUGUGUACAACGCGUGGGUUAAAGAGAGGAACGAGCAGUUUAAAGAUUUU